UUGGAAACAGAAGGUACUUUGUAACAUAUUGCGGCGCAGAGGCUGCAUGCAGACUCUCCUAAACAAAACUGGGGAGGCUGGAGAGGAGAAUAAAAGCUCUGGGGUCCUAAGGUAUCAACUUGAGAAAAAACUAUUCGCCUCACUUGUGCCAAACAAGGAUAGUUUCUCUUCUAUUAAAAGGACAUGAACUUCUUGAAAUUCAGUCUUCAUUUGUCACAUGGUUUCAAAGUAGUGAACAAAGAGCUCCACUUCAUGGCUUGCCGACUCUCCCUAGAGCUCAACGUCCUCUGCGCAGUAUUCAUAGA